rnacentral:rRNA from 1 species
GAUGAACGCUGGCGGCGUGCCUAAUACAUGCAAGUAGAACGCUCAAGGACGGAGCUUGCUCUUUCCGGGUGAGUUGCGGACGGGUGAGUAACGCGUAGCUACCCUGUCUGGUCGCGGGGGAUAACUUAAUGCCACGAUAGCUAAUACCGCAUAAGAGUAAAUGUCACAUGAUAUCUACUUAAAAGGUGAAAUUGCACCACUACCAGUUGGAUCUGCGUUGUAUUAGCUAGGUGGUGAGUUAACGGCUAACCAAGGCGACGUGACCUAGCCGACCUGAGAGGCGGAGCGGCCACACUGGGACGGAGACACGGCCCAGAACACUACGGGUGGCAGCAGUAGGGAAUCUUUGGCGAAGGACGGAAGUCUGACCGAUCAACGCCGGGGGAGAGCAGAAGGUUUUCGGAUCGUAAAGCUCUGUUGUAAGAGAAGAACGAGUGUGAGAGUGGAAAGUUCACACUGUGACGGUAUCUGAACAGAAAGGGACGGCUAACUACGUG